UACAGAGGGGGCAAGCGUUAUUCGGAAUUAUUGGGCGUAAAGGGCGCGUAGGCGGCAUGGCAAGUGGAUGGUGAAAUCCCUCGGCUUAACCGAGGAACUGCCUUUGAUACUGGCGAUCUUGAGUCCGGAAGAGGUGAGUGGAACUCCGAGUGUAGAGGUGAAAUUCGUAGAUAUUCGGAAGAACACCAGUGGCGAAGGCGGCUCACUGGUCCGGUACUGACGCUGAGGUGCGAAAGCGUGGGGAGCAAACAGGG
rnacentral:rRNA from 1 species